CUAAUGCUGGUCGGGAGGGUCACAGGUUGUCCUUGCACGGAAGGGGACAGAGCACGUGUCUGGGCGUGUGAGGUGUCCACACAGGCCGGGAGGAGGUGGGCCCAACUGCUCUCUCUGUCAGAGGUUUGCAGGGGAGGCCUCAGAGAGAAGCACAGGGGAAGGCAUACCUAGCAAUGGCUGGCAAGCCCACGGGGAAAGGGGCAGCCAUCUGCCAGGGCACAGAGGCCAGCGGAUGGCCACAAGGAGUCUCCAGAGGCCAGCAAGAGCCACGCAAACUGGAACGGGGCCUGGGAAAGGCCCUUCUGUGUGCCCAGGCCUGCUCCUCCGACACCGGGAGCCCAGAAACAAAGGGGCUAUUCUCGCUAGGAUGUGAUGCCGCCAUCUCCGGCUGGCAGUGCCAGGUGGUGGGGGCAUCAGGGGGUGUCAGUCUAUUAUGCCCCCCCCAACUCUUAGGUCCUCUGGGGCUGGAUGUUGGGGAGGUGGGUGUUCCAUGCUAUGUUGCCAUGGCAACCGCCCCAGCCCCCACCUUCCAAAGCACAAAGAGAGACAGCUUUCACCCCCACCCCCAGGAAGAACCUGGGUCUGGUUGGGAAUCUUCCCUUGGGAAUCCUCCUUUCUGAAUCACAAGCCUUGGCAUGCAUGAGCCUCAGCCUCCUUUCAGCACUGGAGCCGCACAGGCAGGGAGGCUGGUGCAUCCAGAGACUCUGGGAAGGUUGUGGAGGGAGCCGGAGUCCCCUGUACUUAACCCUCUCCACCCUCAAGCUCUCCUGUCCCUCACCUACAGCCGAGGCCAUCCUCAGCCUUCUAAGGUGAUGGGGCCUUGACCUUCUGCUCUUUCCCAGAAGCGAGGGACACCCUGCUACCCCCAGCCAGCCUCCAGGCUGUGGGAACGGGAGAAGAGGAGGGGGGGUCAUUCCUGCCACCCUCCGCCAUUACUCAUUAGGCAUUCUGCCCCCUCCUUCCGCUCGUUAAGCCUGAUUUGCAUACAUUUGCAUAAUACAACUCAUUUGCAUUCCAGGAGGCUCAUGGUAGGAGCCAGAAAAAAAGGGGAGGGGGUUGGAGAAGAGAGAAAAGGGGAGAGAUUUUGUUUUCAUCAAAGUGUGUGUGUGGGGGGAGGUGGCAGGAAGAGGACAGAAAUAAAAACUCACACUACUUUCUUUCUUCCCUUCUGCCGUCCCUCCCUGAGCCGGACUCAGAUGCCAAAGAGAGAUGCCAAGGGGCCGGCUUUUCUGUCCUUUUUUGUCUUGCUUCCUCCGGCCUUGGCUCCCCAGCCUGGCCCCCCACCUUGUUGGGCUCGGGCUUCAGAGAGAGAGAGAGAGAGAGGCAGGGGUAGGAGGCAAUGCUGUGGGAACGGAAGCGGAGGGCGAGUGAGGGCGCCAUGUUAGGCAGCUGGCACCCCUACGAUGGCGGCCUCUGACAGGUGGAUGGACGUGGCGGGGGCUGAGGCCCCGGGAACCCAGGAAGGACUUGCUGGCAGGCCGGGAACAUGGCUGAGUCUCCUUGCUAGUAGAACUGGGGAGAGCGGACGGGAGGGAUGAGGCAUGGCAGUCCCAGAGGAGAGUGAGGCUGGCACAGGAGCAGGGCUGAUGGGGCGGCCUCCCGUCCACUCACAGACCCCGUGAGCACCCGGUGGUCAGAGGACUUGACGGAGGAUCUUAUGGACUGUGGGUGAUGCACAAAGACUGGGGGGGGGGGGUGGUGAGAACUGGGGGGAGGGUAAGGGGUGGGCAGGCAGGACCGCCUGCCAGUUUGAGGGUCUCUCUGGGGCCUUGAAGGACUGUUGUGUCCUCGAGGUGGAGCUCCAGGUUUUCCCUGCUCAGCCUGGCGGUCUGGCUUCCCUCCUCACGGCCCUUGUGAAGCUUGGCCCUUGGGAGACCACCCACGGCCCCGCCAAGGGCCCACCGCCCACCCCCACCUCAGGCCAGGAGACCUCUGCAGAGCAGUCCCCGCUGGCCCCGGUCCUGCCUCCUCCUGUGGCCUUUGGCCCUCCUGUUACAUCCUCGCUCAUGCGUCCUGGGUUCUGCUCAUUCAGUCUUCCAGGUCUUCAUUUCCCGCAUCUCGUCGUUCUCCAGAGGGAGCGCUAGCCAGACAUCGUGACGCUCCAGCGAAUGAGCCCAAAGUGGUCCCUCCAAGCCCUGCCAUCCAGCCCAGGACUCUCUCAAGUCCCCGAUGAUCUUAUGCUCCUCAGCAUUGUCAGGAGAAACACCACGAUCUUGCUUAUUCUGUCUUGCAAGGUCCUUCCCAGUGUCUAACUGAGACCUGUUCUGCUGAAGUACCAGUUCUCUGACCCUGGGCUUGACAUGGCGAAUUUGAGAGGUGCUGAGGCUCCUAGGUCUCCCCACCCCAGGAAGGAAGGGACUGACCUCGAUUCCACACCCACUUGCUCACGCGAGCCCUCUCGCAGCCGUCUUCUCUGUCAAUCUGCUGACAGGCCUGGAGUGGCUCUGGCCCCCGCUUGGCAAAGCUGCAGUCAGGGCCCCACGAAGGAUGUGUGGGUCACCCCGCGUCACGGGGCUGACCGAAAAGAAGGACUUAUUGUACCCAGCUGGCAUGGGUUCCCUCUGAGAAGCCCUCCUGGAUUGAUCAAAGUGGCAAGACCCCAGCUCCAGCCUGGGCUGCCCGUUACACCCGGAGCCACCCGGGAGAGGACUUCGUCCCACCCUUGCUCCCGUGGCCACCGCUGUCCACCCUGGUCCAUCCCAGUUCCUGUGGCGUCCGAGCUGAGAGUCCUCUGAGGUGGCGGUCCCGUCUCAGAUCUAAUAAAGACUCCUGAAUGUUGAA